CCAACUUGACAUCAGCUCACCUGCCGCAGCUCGCCUGCCAAGUGUUUUUCUUAAUUAGUUAAUUGGUUGCAUCUGGUGCGUUUCACUUAAGAGGGAGCCGGACAGUACGUUGGAGUUCUCCACUGGCAGUGUAGCGUCUCCCAAACGCGGUUGAAGACUUUUUGAAGUAAGGAGGAGCAUCUCAUCUGAACCUGAUGUCUAUCAUGGACAUGUAACUGCAGUUCUGUGAGUAUCCCAACUUAACCAUCAAGAUGAACUGCAAACUGUAAGUCAUACUUUCUCAUUACUCUUGGGCACAUUGAUGUACUUUGGCUUCCUGGCGAGUUAACCCUUUACCUGAAGGUUGAUCAGAGAAGUCAGGAUGUUUUAUUGGUUCAUGAGUUACUGAGGUGUUUGUUUUAUGUUGUUUUUAAUGGUUUGUUGAAACGGUUACAGGUUCUAAGUUAUCGUUGUAAACUGGAGUAAUGGGUUGGGUUCUGAUAUCUUCAGUCUUCUUUCCAGCUACUCUCCUGAGCUCUGCAUCUUCAUCACAGUGUUGCUUUACUGAUGAGGUUGUGGUCUGAGUGAGCAGAGGUGCAUACUGGGAUACAGGGCUGUCUGAUGUCUACAGGUCUGUAGACACGCCCCCUCAGGGGAAACCGAGUGUUUGAGAAACCGUCGUGACGUCAGUUACCUGGACUAGAAUGUUCUUUAAGAUGGAGACGGGAUUCAGAAGGAGAAACGCCAGGGGGAGAUGAGGGGGCUCCUCAUCUCAACGACUAAAACACAACUUCAGUCUGACACAGAGAACCAUGGAACACGUUCAACAGUCCCCUCCAGGCAUCGUGAAUCCUCAGGAACAGUUUCAUUUCCAAGAAGGUCUUAUUUGGGGCCAUCCCCAGAUGUAUCCUGCUCCUCAAGAGCCACCCCCCUCCACUGGGUUGUCUUCUGAACAGAUGACUUCCUUCCUGUCGUCAGGCUGACUAAAGCUGCACCGUUUGCAUCUGUGAAGGCCCCUCAUUCAGGAAACCACUGGACUACAAAGACAUGACUUCAGAGACGUUGAAUCAACCUUGGAGACGCCAAGAAUAAUCCAUCACCAAUGUGGGACGCCACUGAAGAAUGUUGUACAUAAUUUACGUCUCUGGAGACAUUGGUUGUUCUGUUCUGGGUGCCCUGGCAGGAGAGCUGGGGUUGGAUGAUGGAAUGUUAUUUGGCAUGAGGUUUUUACCCUGCAUGAUUGUUUGGCCUUUUAUGGAUCAGUGGUGUGUGUUGGUUUGACAUGAGAUGGAUGAUUUUUGAGCAUCUGGCAUGGGGUUCUACGUGUGUUUGGUUCCACCUGGCAUGGGGUUCCUCGUGCGUGUCCUGGGUUCUAUGUUUGUGUGUGUCCGGCUUGCUUUGACGGUGAUAAUGUUCAUAUGGGGGUCUGUGUGGUUGGCUUGGGAUAUUGGAAUGGUCAACUAAAUCAUACCUGAUGGACGGCCACACGUUUACUUAAGGGCCUCCAGUAGACAUGAAGAGCCCUGAGCGACGCUCCGGAGCGAGAUCCAACACACUGGGCAGGAAGGAGAGUAUCCAACUCAAGUGUAAAAGGAUGCAAGCGGCGUGUUCAGAUCAGUGACUUCAAACUAGGACUACACCAAUCAGGAUCAAUGGAGGAUGGACACCAAGGAAUUCCACAAGGAGAGUCUGACGUUGGAAAUGGACCUAAAUGGAUAUUCAAGAUGACCUUCAGACCUGUAAUGAGACGGCUCUUCCUACCUGGCUGGAUUGAUGGAGAGCCCUGUGGAUCUUGUCUCGCUCUCAGUUGCACGUCUUCGCAGGCUGAACUGUAUUUGUUUCGGACAGGACUAGCUGAACGAUUGGUUCUGAUUUAAGGGAACCAAUCGUGGGAACUCCAACUAGUGCGCUCUUCGAGCUGAAGUUGUGCUCUUCGGCUGAGGAGGUAAGGAAACCUUCACUGGGGCUUCAAGGUGUAAAGAGGAGGACUGUUUCAAAGUGUUCCAUGGUACUCUGAUGAAGACCGUUGUUGUGUUCCACUGGCUGAGGGGAAGAACCCUCACAUCUUCCUCUUGGCCUUUCUCCUCUGAGAAUCCUGCCGCCAUCUUGAAGGAUAUUCCAGCUCAUGUAACUGAUGUCACGACAGAUUCUCAAACACUUGGUUUCUCCUGAGGGGCGUGUCUAUAGAACUGAAGACGUCAGACAGCACUGUAUCCCAGCAUGCAUCUCUGCUCACUCAGACCACACCCCCAUGAGCAGGAUGCAACACUCUAGUGAUGGAGAUGCAGAGUUUUAUGAGUAACGAGGGAGAAGACAAAGGUGAUUGGAACACAAUGGCAUGUCAAGUCUGUAAAUCUUUAAACCAUGAAGAUGGUUGGAUAGUUCAGGAAUUGGGCUUUAUUUUAGUAUGGGCAGUCCUUAUUAAAUGAUUCCUUUGUUUUUAGGCAAGGAUUUGUUGUUGUGGGACGUACAUGGUAGUUUGGUUCUUCGUACGGUUUUGAUUGAUAUAACUUGUACACACUGGGUGCAUAAUAAUUUAAAGGUACACUGAAUAGUACUGUAGUAAUGACCAACAGCAACAAACAGAUCUCCUCAAGGUAAGUCUGUUGGCUGUAUUUUAAUGAAGACCAUCGCUGGACUUCAGGAUCUUCCUCCGUUCAGCUCAAGGUGAGGCGCUGGUUAUGUUUUUUCUUUGGUUGGUUCCGGCCGGAAUGUUCGUAUUCCAGUCGGACGGUUUGUGCUUCCCGCCGUGGAAGGUUUUGAGUGCGUUCACUUGAUUUAGUCCCAAUGGUUAGCAUAGAACGUUGUAGUCUUGACAACCAUUAGAAGCCACCUGGCAGUUCGUUGGACAGGAAUCUGGCUGAACGUUCUGGAUUAUAUUUGCGUAACCUCGAGCUGUUGCCAACGGAAACUAUUUUCAGUCGUUUCCAUUGGGAAUUGUUUUCCUCUUAUCUUAAACAACUUAAGUUUGAUAUUAAAUACAUACUGACACGUACAUCGUAUGAUAUGUUAGUUUCCGAAAGUUGCGGCGUACUUUUAACCACGUUAACGGGACUCUCGCUGCGUACAAAACGGCGUUUUACUUGCGGGCCCAUUUCUGUCAUCAGUGAAGGCUGAAAAACAUUUCAAGGUGGAAGGCAAUUUGACAUUUCUUCAACGGAACCCAGCACCUGAAUAUGGCGAGUAAAUUUGAUUUAAUAUCAAUACUGCUUAGUGUUCUUUGCUAUUUCAGCUUUUGUACGUUCUAAAUAUCUGCUGUCAUUAAUUGCCACAGAAGUUAAACCCUACCUAAUGGAAUGAUGUUAAACAAUUACUUUGGUGCUGAGUUACCAACUGGAUAAUAUCAAAGCUAAAAUAAUGGCCGUCCUUCCCACGUGUUCCAGUAGAAGAUACUCUAUCUGUACAAGGUUAAAAAGGUAACAUGUAGUUUGUCCCAAGGUGUCCACCUCCUCACCCAGAGCAAGACCUCCACCUCAUCACCCAGAGCCAGACCUCCACCUCCUCACAAGUCCUCCAGAACAGCUGAAAGGCGAGGCUGAGAGGCUGGGGACCGGAGGCUUGUGGUGCCAGGAUGGACCGGAGACUGAGGCUGGAGACCAGGGGCCUGCAGCACCGGAUCAGAGGGUAACCAUCGCCAAGCUCAUCUGAAGCACUAAAAUCCACGACCAGGAAUCCAUGGCUGAUGGAGGUGCCGUGCUGAAGGCCCUGCCUGGUGGAGGAGCUGAUGGAGGCCCUGCCUGGUGGAGGAGCUGAUGGAGGCCCUGCCUGGUGGAGGAGCUGUGCUGAUGGAGGCCCUGCCUGGUGGAGGAGCUGAUGGAGGCCGUGCUGAAGGCCCUGCCUGGUGGAGGAGCAGGUGGAGGCCCUGCCUGGUGAAGGACGUCUGUCGUGGGGACUCUGUCUCAGGAGAGCUGGUGGAGGAGCUGAGACGCUGGAGGAUGACUAGGAAUCGACCAACAAGGAUUCCUCAACGUGUUUCUGGAGCGGAGGUGAGCUGGUAGGGGAGCCGUGAAUCUGGAGGAUGACCAUCACUCUACCAACAAGGAUUGGAAACCAGGACUCUGGGUGAGGAGAGCUGAUGGAGGAGCCAAGACUCUGGAGGACGACAUCACUCUACAAACAAGGAUCCUCACCAGGAAUCUGGAGGACUGAUGGAGAAGCUGUACAUCUGGAAGGCGAAUCCUGAGGGCGACCAGGACUCUACCAUCAAGGAUUCCUCACACACCUGAGCUGAACCUCACCUGAUCCUGUUUGGUCGGGGGCAGACACACCUGAGCUGAACCCCAACUGAUCCUGACAUCCUGCUGGUCCCGUCUCCUCAGUUCAUCUUAGCCUCGUCCUCCAGAAGACCUGCUGAGCUCAGCGGUCUGAGGCUGAUGGAUCAAUGACCUCCAGUGGGAGUGAUCUUCUUGACCCCACAUGUAACCGUGUGCUUCCACACGCCUUACCCUCACGUCUGUCACUAACCUCACUACUUCACUACUCUCUACUGCUUCUUCUUCUUCUUCCUUCUCUGUGGUUCGAACCUUAACACGGAAGGCGCGUCUUCCUGCCCUCAGAGGGUUUAGCGUUAGGGUUGAGAGUCAGGGUUUAGAGUCAGGGACAGAGCUGGUCAGGGAGGACUGCUUUUACACAAACCUCUUCACUUGCUUUCGGAAUGGUGGUCACAUUUGGAAAAGAUUCAUUUGGGAAAAUGUUUUCCUCUGCUUUCCUUUGCAAAAAUAUGUAUUAAACUUCUGUCAAGUGUUUUUGUUUAUAUAAUAAAAUCCCACAUUGACUUCUG